AGUGGGGUGAGCCCGGAUUGUCUUGUGGCCUGCAGGAUUAUUUUUUGUUUUGUUUUGGACUGCUGUUAUGAUCAGAAGAGAGGGAGCUGUGUUUCUAGGACUUACUGCGGGAUGAACACAUCCUGGACUCCAAACUGGCACUACAGUGAUGUCUACAUACAAGGAAGGAUGUCUGGGAUGAGAGAGGUUCCUAGGGUUCCAGGUAACACCUUUCCCAGAAUGACAUUAUCAUGUAAAUGAAGUCAUCUUCUGGACUAAGUACAACAGUAUCAGACUCACUGAGGGAAGGAAGGGCACCUCAGAGAUCAUUUAGUGUCAGUGAAAGCCUUCAGAAUUUGAGGUCAAAUCAACAGAGGAUCAGAGAUGCAUGGAGGUGCAUAAGGAAGAGCACAAGAAGUCUGAGGAGAAGUGAAGGAAGGAGGACAAGGAGAUGGAGGAGAAGCUGCAAGCUAGUAUCUCACGCAUGAUCAUAAGAUGAAGGAGUGAGACAUGGCAUUUCAGACGACAUUAUUUGGGGUCAUGAGCCAUGAGGGCAAAUCCAUAGUGUACAUAAGCAUCAUGACUCUACUUCAAUGUUGCCAUGUACUACAACCUAUGAACCCAAUGCCUGAAGGAACCAAUCAAUGAGCCAUGGACCAUCAUCAGAUCUGUGCACUCUACACUUGUUCCAAUUCAGGGGAAAGAGAACAGAUAAACUAAUGUUUAGUUUUCUUAUUAGUGACAAGUUUUUGUUAUGUCUUAUGUUUGCAUGUUUGAACCACAUUAGGGCAGCGAGUUUGCUCACAUUUUUAGCAUGAAUCAAUUUCAAUAAAG